AUGUGACUGUGGAUCGAGCCCAUGUGAAGCCUCUUCGAUGAGUCGAGUUGUUUGGGAAUGCAGCUCAAAAUGGGUGGUAAAUUUCAUCUAAAGCUAAAUACUGGCUGGAGACCGAUAGCGCACAAGUAGAGUGAUCGAAAGAUGAAAAGCACUUUGGAAAGAGAGUCAAAAAGUACGUGAAAUUGUUGAAAGGGAAGCGCUUGCAACCAGACCUGUCCGUAGGCGAUCUGCCGCUGUUCUCAGCGGUUCACUCGCUCUACGAUCAGGCCAGCAUCGGUUCGGGCGGUCGGAUAAAGGCCUUGGGAAUGUAGCUUCCUUCGGGGAGUCUUAUAGCCCUCGGUGCAAUGCGGCCAGCCGGGACCGAGGACCGCGCUUCGGCUAGGAUGCUGGCGUAAUGGUUGCAAGCGACCCGUCUUGAAACACGGACCAAGGAGUCUAACAUCUAUGCGAGUGUUUGGGUGUCAAACCCAUGCGCGGAAUGAAAGUGAACGGAGGUGAGACCCCUUAAGGGCGCAUCAUCGACCGAUCCAGAUGUCUUCGGAUGGAUUUGAGUAUGAGCAUAGCUGUUGGGACCCGAAAGAUGGUGAACUAUGCCUGAAUAGGGUGAAGCCAGAGGAAACUCUGGUGGAGGCUCGCAGCGGUUCUGACGUGCAAAUCGAUCGUCAAAUUUGGGUAUAGGGGCGAAAGACUAAUCGAACCAUCUAGU
rnacentral:rRNA from 1 species